GGUGACAUGCUGAUGCCAUUUAAGAGAUGCUUUGAUGUAAACAGAAGGGAUAGAUUUGGUUGGCAGUGCUAUGUUUGCCACUUACUCGAUAAAGGGCAUUUGAACAGGUCUUCAUGAAUGUGCCCUCCUCAGGAAUAGAGAGGGAUUCUUGCUAGAGGUUCCUGUGGCCACAAUGAAGACUGUUGUAUCUCAGGAGUUUCUAUUGACUUAUUUAUUUAUUUUCUCAAUCACUUGUAAAGGCCAAUGUGUGUGGUCAGAAUUUUAUAUGAGGAUAUUAUCAAGUUCCUGCUUUUAUCUCAAAAGACGUCCAACGAAAGAGCACCCAGUCUCUGCUUUGGAUUGGUAUGGGCACUGGAGAACUAUUUCUUACUUGAUUCAGCUGAGUUUUAUGUGAUGAAUUCUUACUCUGGAAUAGCCACUUUUGGAAGCGACUGUGUAAAUAGAAGUUUAUUUUUAUGUCCCGAAGCUUGUGGGUUUUAAGAACUGACUCUUAUGUUAAGAAUGCUGCUCACUCUCAGAAAGUUGUCAGGGUUUCUGCCCUCAGCAGUUCCAGCUGUUUCCCCUUUGCUUUUUGGCUGUCAUGAAAUAUAUGCCGAAAUCAGACGUGAAACCAGAUCAGAAGUUAAUAAAAUUAGAUAUUAAAACUCAUGACAAGUAUUUCUUGACUUGGGCAUAAAGUCUGCAUACCCAUUGUCUGUCUCAUGCUUGCAUGUAAGGAGCCACUAUUGAGCUAUCUGCUAUUUCUUCUGGCUUUUUGGACUGUGGUUCAAGUCUAGGGCCUUGCACACACUAGGAAGCUGUGUCUACCAACUGAAUUACAUUCCUAGCCCAUUUCUGGAUACCCCCAAGAUACAAAGAUUGGUCAUUUUAUUGGACGUUGUCUUAUUAAUAUUAAGUGGUUUUAAAUUAAAUUUAGGAUCAUCUAAUAAGUAGUUUUUGCAUUGUGAGAGGUUAUAAGUUACUUCUGCUUUCUUUGAACAGACCUGCAUAAACACUGGGCUGCCUUGGGAAAUGAAGACAGAUGCUAAAGCAAGAAAAAUACACAUCCUUCAGAAAUGAAUAGUUUGGGCUUUUAAUGCAAAGGACUUAAGUUGACCCUUUCCUUCUCUUGGGGGCCGUUAAGUUUAUAAACUAUUUUGUUUUAAGUGUAUAAAAUAUAAUUGCUUUUGGCGUUUAGGACCAGUGAAGUUAAAUGUAUUAUGCUAGCUUAGUUUUUGCAAUACUGAAGCUUGAUCUUUGUGGGACACUGUGCUAGAUACGGAGUGGACCACUGAGCUAAACCUCCAGCCCAUCUGUCUGUCCGUCCGUCCUUCCUUCCUUUUGUCUUUUAAACUUUUAGAAUUUUAAGAGAAGGUCUCCAAAAGUUCAUAGACUGGUCUUGACUUUGCCUACACAGGCUUUAAAUUUUCUUCCUUCCUACCUUAGCCUCUCCAGUAACUGGACCUAUAAGGCUGUGCAAUCAGCCUGGUUAAAUAGCUCAUUUUAAGUCAGGUGUGGUGGCACACACCUUUAAUAACAGCACUUGGGAGGCUGAGACAGGUGGGUCUCUGUGUUUGAGGCUAGCUUGGUCUACAGACUGAGUUCCAGGACAGCCAGGGCGACACAGAGAAACCCCGUCUCGAAAAACAAAACAAAAACAAACAAAAAAGCUCAUUUUAAAUGGCCUUAAGUUUGCAGUAUUUGAUAAAAACGAGUUAGGGACCAUACCUCCAGGGAUUAUAGAAUUAAUCACCUUCGUGACAAAUGGCCAAGAGAUUCUAGUGCAGUCGUAGGGCUCCACACUUUGAGAAACAGUGACAAAGGAAAGAUUGAUCUAGAGAAGUAACAUUGCUUAUCUAUUACUUCAAGGCGUUAUCAAGCGCUUAACGCUGGCCGUGAUUUGAUAGUUUAGGUGAUACUAGUCCCAUUCCUGUACCGGAAGGACUCAAGUCAGAAUUGAACUCAGGUACACAGAGUCUGUGCCCUGCCUGGCUACAACUGCUUUGGCUUGUGUAAGGAUGUGCUGGGCUUUGAGACCUCCUCAACCCUUCCGUGGGAGGCAGAAUCAGAAGAGUUUCUUUCCCAGUGAAAUUUCAAGCACCGCUCACCAUUGGUUCACAGCGAUUGGUCUCCAUGGCUGAUGCCUUGUGACCUUUUUCAGUAUUUGCCUUUCAGCUUGGUUGCACAAGGUCUUGACAAUUUGAUAGCACGGUCUCCUGAAGUCCUUUCAGUCACCUUUAUCUCUCUUUGGCCUUUUACACUCCGGUGUGGAAAUUUUUAUAGAAGCUAAAAUAUUACUUAAAUAUGUCCCAGAGCAGUUAGACGCAGGUUGAGCAUCUCUAAUCUGAAAACCCCAACUCCCCCCAAAUCUAAACUUUUUUGAGUACUUGACAUCACAGGUAAGAAAAGCUUCACCUCACAUUACAGGAUGGGUCGCACUCCCAAGACAGCUGUGGGGAUGGGGAGAUGGCUCAGAGUCCAGUUUCCAGAGGACCGAGUCUGAAUCCCAGCCUCCAAGCCAAGUGGCUUACAGACGACCAGUAACUGACACUCUAGAUGGGUCCAGAGCCUCAGUGUGCCUGCAUCCUUGUGGCAUUCGUUCACACUGACACGCAGAAACACACAAAGAGUAAAGGCCAGGUGUGGCAUAUGCUUUCAAUCCCAGGACUUGGGAGGUAGAGGCAGGCAGAUCUCUGUGGACUCAAGGCCAGCCUUGUUUGUAUAGUUCUAUACUAACCAAGAGUUACUUGGUGAGACACUGUCUUAAAACAAAACAAAACACCCAAAUACAUGCAAUGAGGAUAAAAAAAACCUUAAAAAUAUUUUUCAGAAGCCAGACAUACUAAAUGUUAUAUAACAUUUUCUUCAGUUUAUAUAUGUAAAGUAUAUAUAAGGCAUACAUUUCCUACUUAGGCUUGUUAUGCAUUAAUGAGUUAUAUACAUAUAUGUGCAUGUGAAUCUAUACACGUAUACAUACAUACACACAUGUACACACAUGCAUAUAUAUGUAUGUAUACACACAUGCAUAUAUAUGUAUGUAUACACACACAUAUAUAUGUAUACACAUACAUAUACAUACAUAAAUAUUCCUGAGUCUAAAAUAAUUUAAAAUCUUACAGUUCUGGACUCAUGGACUUCAGACAAGGGCUUCUGAAACUUAUGAAAAAUUUAUUAUAGAUUAGUUAGUCCCAUAUACUUGUGAAUGUCAGCAUGCCAGAUAAAAGUGUUUAAAUACAUAUUUCUUAUAAUAAAUAAAAAGGGAAUCAUAAUUAAAAAAACUACACAGGUUUAAUUAAGGAUACAGUCUAGCUGAGUACAAUGAAUAUUAGCAUUUUGAUAGGCUUUCUUUCUGUUUUUUUUUUUCUUUUUCUUUUUAAGCAUAUGCAACUGAUCCUCUUUAUCUCUAGGCUCCAUAUCACUGGCUUCAGUCAACUUCCGAUACAAACAUUUGGGAAUGUAUUGCACCUGUACUAAACAUGUACAGACUUUUAAUAUAUCAUUGUUCUCUAUGUAAUAAUAAUGAAGUAUAACAUCCACUUACAUAACAUUUACAUAUUAUCAAAUAUACUAAGUAGCCUAGAAAUGAUUUCAGAUAUAUGGGAGGAUGUUGCUUCUUAUACCCAAAUACUGUGCCAUUUUUCUAUAAUGGAGUUGAGCAUCCCUAGAUUAUAAUAUAAUUAAUCCUAGCACCCAAAUUGUUGGAGUUAGAAUCAUAGAGGACAUGUAAUUUGGGCCUUUAAAAAAUUGAACCUACAGUUUAAAUAUUUUUAUAUGUUACAUAGCCUUAAUAAUUAUAAAGGUCUGCCUAAAAUUGUACUAUCUAGUAAUAGUUUUACUAUGUCAGUUGGCCAUUAUGGUUGGAUGUUUGGGCUUGUAACAAAAUAUUAAAAUAGAUUUACAUACAUUUUUGUUG
rnacentral:lncRNA from 1 species